rnacentral:lncRNA from 1 species
AUGACAUACGCUUUGUUCUGAUUAAGUGUUCUUUUGGUUAUGGGAUUUGUAGGUUUUUCUUCUAAACCUCCAAUUUAUGGGGUCUUAGGGUUAAUUAUUAGUGGUGCUAUGGGUUGCGUUAUUGUACUAAAUUAUGGUGGGGCUUUUAUGGGAUUAAUAGUCUUUUUGAUUUACUUGUAGGGGAUGAUGGUUGUUUUUGGCUAUACUGCGGUGGUGGCUAUUAAGGAAUAUCCAGAGGAGUGAGGAUCAAGCAUUGUGGUUUUAGAAACGUUAUUAUUGGGUUUAGCAGUAGAGUUGGUGUUAAGUUGAUGAGUGAGUAUGAUGGACUGGUGAUUGUAGUUAAUUUUAAUAGUAUGGGAAGUUGAAUAAUUUUUGAGGGUGAGGGGCCAGGGUUGGUUCGUGAAGAUUCUGUGGGUGCGGGUGCUUUCUAUAAUUAUGAGUGUUGAUUGGUGGUGGUUGCUGGUUGAACAUUGUUGGCUGGUGUUGAUGUUAUAAUUGAAAUUACUCAGGGCAACAGAUUAA